GCCGGGGUAGCUCAGUGGUGGAGCUCUGGUCUGAAGAACCAGGAGUCGCGAGUUCGAUUCUCGCCCCCGGCA
rnacentral:tRNA from 1 species